UGCGGUGAUCGUCGAGCAGGUGGCGAACGGUGUGGCCGUGCGGAUGGCGGUGCUGUACCUGCUGCUGUCCGGCUCGGGGCCGGAGCACCGCGG
rnacentral:tRNA from 1 species